rnacentral:lncRNA from 1 species
GGGUAGACUCUCUUCAAUGUCGGCCUCCGUCCAGCUAACCCCCGAGAUAAGGAUCGAAUUGGCCGAUCUGCUCUUCUUCCUUUUCUCCCCCCAUUUUUUUCUUUUCUUUUUUUAAAAGUUUCUUUGUUUGACAUAGAAAUGAGGCCUAAGUAGAUUGAGGCAAUGAAAAAACUAAGCCUAAAGAAGAGAAAAGCUUCGGAUUCAUCUUCUGGUAUGGCCAUACCGAAGAAGCCUCGUCAAGCCCUAACUACUCAAGUGAAAGAGCCCACCAAGA